rnacentral:rRNA from 1 species
AUAGCGUAUAUUAAACUUGUUGCGUUUAAAAAGCUCGUAGUUGGAUCUCGGUCCAGAAUAAUGGUCCCCCUAACGGGUGGUUACUGUUAUUUCUGACCGAAAAUAUCCGGUUCGUUCUUGGUGCUCUUUAUUGAGUGUCUUGAAUGGCUGGAAAAUUUACUUUGAAAAAAUUAGAGUGCUUAAAGCAGGCGUAAGCCUGAAUAGUGGUGCAUGGAAUAAUGGAAUAGGACCUCGGUUCUAUUUUAUUGGUUUUCGGAACCAAGGUAAUGAUUAAGAGGGACAGACGGGGGCAUUAGUAUUGCGACGUUAGAGGUGAAAUUCUUGGAUCGUCGCAAGACUAACUACUG